UGGGUAACCUGCCUCAAAGAGGGGAAUAGCCUCCCGAAAGGGAGAUUAAUACCGCAUAAUAUGUUUAAGUCGCAUGACUUUAACAUCAAAGGAUUUUCUUUUAGAAAUUCCACUUUGAGAUGGACCCGCGGCGCAUUAGCUAGUUGGUGAGGUAACGGCUCACCAAGGCAACGAUGCGUAGCCGACCUGAGAGGGUGAUCGGCUACAUUGGAACUGAGACACGGUCCAGACUCCUAGGGAG
rnacentral:rRNA from 1 species